rnacentral:rRNA from 1 species
UACAGAGGUGGCAAGCGUUGUUCGGAAUUACUGGGCGUAAAGGGCGCGUAGGCGGUCUUGCAAGUCCUGUGUGAAAUCCCUCGGCUCAACUGAGGAACUGCACAGGAAACUGCUUGGCUUGAGUUCGGGAGAGGGAAGCGGAAUUCCGGGUGUAGCGGUGAAAUGCGUAGAGAUGCGGAGGAACACCGAUGGCGAAGGCAGCCCCCUGGGCCAAUACUGACGCUCAGGCACGAAAGCGUGGGGAGCAAACAGG